rnacentral:pre_miRNA from 2 species
GCUCCGUGGUAAUUCUUAGGCCGACAGGGUCCCGUGAGUGUUGUCCGGCGAUAGCCUAGGCACCCUCGGUGAUACUUGUCGGUAUCCCUGCAUAGCA